rnacentral:rRNA from 1 species
GAUGGGUAGGGGAGCGUCGUGUGCCGGGUGAAGCCGCGCCGGAAGGCAGUGGUGGACGGUUCACGAGUGAGAAUGCAGGCAUGAGUAGCGAUACACACGUGGGAAACGUGUGCGCCGAUUGACUAAGGGUUCCUGGGUCAAGCUGAUCUGCCCAGGGUAAGUCGGGACCUAAGGCGAGGCCGACAGGCGUAGUCGAUGGACAACCGGUUGAUAUUCCGGUACCCGCUUUGAAGCGCCAGCGCUGAACCUUCUGAUGCUAAGUCCGUGAAGCCGCCGGCUGAGUCUUCGGACGAGGUCGGAGUGGUGGAGCCGACGACCCGAGGGGGUAGUAGGUGAGUGAUGGGGUGACGCAGGAAGGUAGUCCAGCCCGGGCGGUGGUUGUCCCGGGGUAAGGGUGUAGCCCGGAGGGUAGGUAAAUCCGUCCUC